rnacentral:rRNA from 1 species
GUGGGGAAUAUUGCACAAUGGGCGCAAGCCUGAUGCAGCGACGCCGCGUGAGGGAUGACGGCCUUCGGGUUGUAAACCUCUUUCAGCAGGGGAGAAGCGAAAGUGACGGUACCUGCAGAAGAAGCGCCGGCUAACUACGUGCCAGCAGCCGCGGUAAUACGUAGGGCGCGAGCGUUGUCCGGAAUUAUUGGGCGUAAAGAGCUUGUAGGCGGUUUGUCGCGUCUGCUGUGAAAGCCCGGGGCUUAACUCCGGGUUUGCAGUGGGUACGGGCUAACUAGAGUGCAGUAGGGGAGACUGGAAUUCCUGGUGUAGCGGUGGAAUGCGCAGAUAUCAGGAGGAACACCGAUGGCGAAGGCAGGUCUCUGGGCUGUAACUGACGCUGAGAAGCGAAAGCAUGGGGAGCGAACAGGAUUAGAUACCCUAGUAGUCC